rnacentral:rRNA from 1 species
UNANANAUGCAGUCNANGNUAGCAGGAAGGAAGCUUGCUUUCUUUGCUGACGAGUGGCGGACGGGUGAGUAAUGCUUGGGAAUCUGGCUUAUGGAGGGGGAUAACUGCGGGAAACUGCAGCUAAUACCGCGUAAAGUCUUUGGACUAAAGGGGGCGUUUGCUCUUGCCAUAAGAUGAGCCCAAGUGGGAUUAGGUAGUUGGUGGGGUAAUGGCUCACCAAGCCGUCGAUCUCUAGCUGGUCUGAGAGGAUGACCAGCCACACCGGGACUGAGACACGGCCCGGACUCCUACGGGAGGCAGCAGUGGGGAAUAUUGCGCAAUGGGGGGAACCCUGACGCAGCCAUGCCGCGUGAAUGAAGAAGGCCUUCGGGUUGUAAAGUUCUUUCGGUGAUGAGGAAGGCAGUUUGGUUAAUAGCCAAGCUGAUUGACGUUAGUCACAGAAGAAGCACCGGCUAACUCCGUGCCAGCAGCCGCGGUAAUACGGAGGGUGCGAGCGUUAAUCGGAAUAACUGGGCGUAAAGGGCACGCAGGCGGAUUUUUAAGUGAGGUGUGAAAGCCCCGGGCUUAACCUGGGAAUUGCAUUUCAGACUGGGAAUCUAGAGUACUUUAGGGAGGGGUAGAAUUCCACGUGUAGCGGUGAAAUGCGUAGAGAUGUGGAGGAAUACCGAAGGCGAAGGCAGCCCCUUGGGAAUGUACUGACGCUCAUGUGCGAAAGCGUGGGGAGCAAACAGGAUUAGAUACCCUGGUAGUCCACGCUGUAAACGCUGUCGAUUUGGGGGUUGGGGUUUAACUCUGGCGCCCGUAGCUAACGUGAUAAAUCGACCGUCUGGGGAGUACGGCCGCAAGGUUAAAACUCAAAUGAAUUGACGGGGGCCCGCACAAGCGGUGGAGCAUGUGGUUUAAUUCGAUGCAACGCGAAGAACCUUACCUACUCUUGACAUCCAGAGAAUCCUGUAGAGAUACGGGAGUGCCUUAGGGAGCUUUGAGACAGGUGCUGCAUGGCUGUCGUCAGCUCGUGUUGUGAAAUGUUGGGUUAAGUCCCGCAACGAGCGCAACCCUUAUCCUUUGUUGCCAGCGAUACGGUCGGGAAC